AUUGAACGCUGGCGGCAUGCUUUACACAUGCCAGUCGAACGGCAGCGCGGGCUUCGGCCUGGCGGCGAGUGGCGAACGGGUGAGUAAUGCAUCGGAACGUGCCCAGUAGUGGGGGAUAGCCCGGCGAAAGCCGGAUUAAUACCGCAUACGACCUGAGGGUGAAAGCGGGGGACCGAAAGGCCUCGCGCUAUUGGAGCGGCCGAUGUCGGAUUAGCUAGUUGGUGGGGUAAAGGCUUACCAAGGCGACGAUCCGUAGCUGGUCUGAGAGGACGACCAGCCACACUGGGACUGAGACACGGCCCAGACCCCUACGGGAGGCAGCAGUGGGGAAUUUUGGACAAUGGGGGCAACCCUGAUCCAGCCAUGCCGCGUGCGGGAAGAAGGCCUUCGGGUUGUAAACCGCUUUUGUUCGGGAAGAAAUCCUCUGGGCUAAUACCCCGGGGGGAUGACGGUACCGGAAGAAUAAGCACCGGCUAACUACGUG
rnacentral:rRNA from 1 species